GACGAACGCUGGCGGCGUGCUUAACACAUGCAAGUCGAACGGAAAGGCCCUGCUUUUGUGGGGUGCUCGAGUGGCGAACGGGUGAGUAACACGUGAGUAACCUGCCCUUGACUUUGGGAUAACUUCAGGAAACUGGGGCUAAUACCGGAUAGGAGCUCCUGCUGCAUGGUGGGGGUUGGAAAGUUUCGGCGGUUGGGGAUGGACUCGCGGCUUAUCAGCUUGUUUGUGGGGUAGUGGCUUACCAAGGCUUUGACGGGUAGCCGGCCUGAGAGGGUGACCGGCCACAUUGGGACUGAGAUACGGCCCAGACUCCUACGGGAGGCAGCAGUGGGGAAUAUUGCACAAUGGGCGGAAGCCUGAUGCAGCAACGCCGCGUGCGGGAUGACGGCCUUCGGGUUGUAAACCGCUUUCGCAGGUGACGAAGCGUGAGUGACGGUAAUGGGUAAAGAAGCACCGGCUAACUACGUG
rnacentral:rRNA from 1 species